UAUCCAAUUGAAGAAGAGAAAACCCAAGC
rnacentral:piRNA from 1 species